rnacentral:rRNA from 1 species
AAAGGGUGCGUAGGCGGCUUGUUAAGUCAGAGGUGAAAGGCGGUAGCUUAACUAUCGGAGUGCCUUUGAUACUGAUGAGCUUGAAUGCAGCUGAGGUAGGCGGAAUGUGACAAGUAGCGGUGAAAUGCAUAGAUAUGUCACAGAACACCGAUUGCGAAGGCAGCUUACUAAAGUGUGAUUGACGCUGAGGCACGAAAGCGUGGGGAUCAAACAGGAUUAGAUACCCUAGU